rnacentral:rRNA from 1 species
GAACCUUACCAGCCCUUGACAUCCCGGUCGCGGGAACGAGAGAUCGAUCCCUUCAGUUCGGCUGGACCGGAGACAGGUGCUGCAUGGCUGUCGUCAGCUCGUGUCGUGAGAUGUUGGGUUAAGUCCCGCAACGAGCGCAACCCUCAUUCUUAGUUGCUCGCCCGCAAGGGAAGCACCCCAAGAAAACCGCCUCGGAUAACGGGGAGGAAGGUGGGGAUGACGUCAAGUCCUCAUGGCCUUUAUGCCCAGGGCUACACACGUGCUACAAUGGCCGGUACAGAGCGUCGCCAACCCGCAAGGGGGAGCCAAUCGCAAAAAACCGGUCUCAGUUCGGAUUGCAGUCUGCAACUCGACUGCAUGAAGCUGGAAUCGCUAGUAAUCGCGUAUCAGAACGACGCGGUGAAUACGUUCCCGGGCCUUGUCACACCGA